CAGACCUUGUCGUUAAUUUAUCUUUAUUUAUUCUGCACAUUAUUAAUUUACAUAUUCAGCAUUGCGAACGAUCUCUUGUGCACAUGGAUUUCAUGGUCCAUGUACAUAAUACAAGACACACGGGUGUGACUAAUUUAUGGAAACGCUCCGAGGAAGAGCUUGCUCAAUGCUGUACAUAAAAGGAUUCAUCUACAUCGACCCAGUGCCAUAUGUCGUGCUUGUUGACUACCUCAAUUUUACGGUGAUGUCGUCGUCCAGAAGACGACGUACUCGAAGCAGAAGACAGUGUCUUCUGCAACGCGUCCCUCUAUGGGGACCUGUCUUACGUUCUACUGAAUUGGUUGUGAAAAACAAUAAAGGACUGAAAGUAUAGCUCCCUUCUCUGCCGAUGAAGAAAUCAAGGGUGUUUAUAAGGUCUUCCACGACGACGAGGUUUUUGUGACGAUUGCGUCUUUUGCAGUAUUAUUGACCCUAAAGGGGCGAAUAAAUUGUAUUAUACUUUUA